GAUGAACGCUGGCGGCGUGCCUAAUACAUGCAAGUCGAGCGAACAGACGAGGAGCUUGCUCCUCUGACGUUAGCGGCGGACGGGUGAGUAACACGUGGAUAACCUACCUAUAAGACUGGGAUAACUUCGGGAAACCGGAGCUAAUACCGGAUAAUAUAUUGAACCGCAUGGUUCAAUAGUGAAAGACGGUUUUGCUGUCACUUAUAGAUGGAUCCGCGCCGCAUUAGCUAGUUGGUAAGGUAACGGCUUACCAAGGCGACGAUGCGUAGCCGACCUGAGAGGGUGAUCGGCCACACUGGAACUGAGACACGGUCCAGACUCCUACGGGAGGCAGCAGUAGGGAAUCUUCCGCAAUGGGCGAAAGCUUGACGGAGCAACGCCGCGUGAGUGAAGAAGGUCUUCGGAUCGUAAAACUCUGUUAUUAGGGAAGAACAAAUGUGUAAGUAACUAUGCACGUCUUGACGGUACCUAAUCAGAAAGCCACGGCUAACUACGUG
rnacentral:rRNA from 1 species